rnacentral:tRNA from 1 species
ACCCGUGUGGCUCAGUUGGUAGAGCAUGUGGUUGCAACGCCAGGGUUGUGGGUUCGAUUCCCACCGGGGGCC